rnacentral:snRNA from 1 species
AUUCCUUGUAAAUAAGUUC